ensembl:lncRNA
CUCCUGCAGUAUUCUCCUGGAGAAGCUGUCAGCCCGUGGCUUGGAUAUACAUACUCUUCACAGGGUAAAAGCUGUCCUAGAGAGUAGUGAAGAGGAAAGGAACUGUAAGAAACAGUUAUAGAGGAAAUCUUCCUCCAAAAUGAAACUCCCAAAAUGAACAUGAAGCAUGCCCCCACAGAAUCCGGUGUAGGCCUCUUGUACUACAAAACAGCAGACCAGUUUUACUCAUCAAGCAAUUCCAUGGAAGACACAGAGAUCUGUGUUCAUGAACUUAUUUGCAUGUUGACAGACUGUGUUUCAGUGUAACUGGUUUAUUCAAAUCACAUUAGCAGGAAAUACAGACAAAAAAAAAAAAUUGCAAAGAAUGAAGUCAUUUGCAGCCUUAUCUAAAAUCUCUUACAUGUAGUCUGUUCUUUCUGAAAGCCUGUAAAUCCUGGGAAUCAGAACAGAAGCUAGAGAAAAUGGCAUUAAAAUAGUGCUCCAAAGUCAGAGACUGUAGAUAGCUUAAGACCCUCUUAGAACAUCCAGCAUAUGAAAGUCACAUGCAUCUUGGUACAGACUUCAUAAAGCCCAUUUUUUAGUAAAUGAUAGAAGAUUGCCCCCAGAUAUUUUAGUGAAUGGUUAAUAGAAAUGCAUCAGAUGUUGGAGCUUCUGGGAUCAUGAUUUGGAACUGCAUAUAUUCUUAAUGAAAACUUAGUGACGAAUGGAGGGGAGACUGAAAAAUACGGCAUGUGUGUGAUAAGAAUCCUCAACUAAACACAGAUGUUGAGAAGACAAACAUUGCUCAGGAGGUUACUUUCAGCAAACUGUCUUUGCCUGACGUGUACUUCUCUACAAGAAAAUCAACUACCAGAUGUGUCCGUAAGUACUGCAUCCCUCCUAAUGCAGCAAACAGAAGUUUGCUUUGAGGUGAAAAACUAGACUGGUUUUACCUGUUCUGACAAGGAAGCAACCAUAACCAGUCAUGGAUUUACUUAAGAGGGAGAAGAACACUGUUGAAGGAAAGAGAAAGAUAGAAAUACAAGCACAUGUGGCUAUAACAGCCUUCCUGACUCUUCUGCAAUCAAGAUACCUUUUAAAUAAAUAAGUAUGUCUGCCUCUAGAGACUUCAGGAGUCAAGCAGUUGUUUUCCAUCACCAUGCAAUCUCAGGGAAGCAUCUGGCUGCAAAUGAGAAUAUCGUGAUUUUCUUCAAGUCCUAAAGGAAAUGCCGAAAUGGAUAUGAACAUUGCAUAAACUGUGCAAAAAAAAAAAAAAAAAGACAGAAUCAUCACAGAAUCAUCAUAGAUAACAACAACAGAAUAACAACCUCCAGUGUUAUUCAUUCUGAAAGUAAUUGAAAAGACUCUUCAAUUAACUAUGAUCUCUGUUAACAACCUACUGCAAAACUGUUAUCUCGUAAAGAUGACUUUUUUAUUGAAUCUAGUACUUUAUCUGGUAGCAGAAUUCACUGUUUAUCUACAAUGCAUAAAGCUGCAAAUCUUAUAUGCAUGUAAGUUCCGUGUGUAAGAAAGAAAAGAAGAAAAGCAUCUAUGGAAAUUCUAGAGAGACAAAAGUUAAUAAUUUUCUUUCAAUUGGGUGUAAGUGAUGCAGAAUUCAGUCCAGACUUUGGGAAAAGAAAAAAAAAAAAAAAAAUAGUGAGAGUAUCAUGCUUACUGUGAUUUUCAGAUAAAGUAAUCCUAAAGCAUUUCUCAAAGGUAUAGAUUAAAUGCUCAUUAUGUAAAUGUACUUACUCACCAAUCUGUUCUUUGUUCAUCUAGAUAAAGUAGUACACUGUUUCCAUGUCAAGCAACUGCUGAUUACAAAUAAAUAAUUCAGCACUGAGAGAUGCUGUCCAUAGUGCAUGAAAAACGGAAACAAAUUGAAAAGGAAUGUCAAUAAAUUGACAAUAUUAAAUUUCAAUCAAUUUGGUCUGAUUGGAUAAUUUAAGCUUGCAGCUGCUGUGAGAUCAGAAAGGGAAGGGAAAUGUCAAUAAUUCUAAAGUGUGCUAACAUUUGACUUUUUACAAUUGUGUGUAAACCUCUAAAAUGAGACAACAAAGUUUCCUAUUGAGGCAGAAAAUGAAAUACCACUUCUAUGACGUCGUAAUGAUAGUAUCAUUGUUAGGCUUAAUAAUGAAGUGACAGAGGCC